UACGUAGGGUGCAGGCGUUAAUCGGAAUUACUGGGCGUAAAGCGUGCGCAGGCGGCUCCUUAAGUCAGAUGUGAAAGCCCCGGGCUUAACCUGGGAACUGCGUUUGAAACUGGGGGGCUAGAGUGUGGAAGAGGGGGGUGGAAUUCCAGGUGUAGCAGUGAAAUGCGUAGAGAUCUGGAGGAACACCGAUGGCGAAGGCAGCCCCCUGGGUUAACACUGACGCUCAUGCACGAAAGCGUGGGGAGCAAACAGG
rnacentral:rRNA from 1 species